AUACGUAAGUCCAAAGGUCCAUUAAUUAACUGUUAUAGUGGCACCUUUGACAUUUCUUGGAUGGAUAAGUUGUUGCUCGUUGACGCACGGCAAAAAAUCCAAUUUCAUUUGGAACGCAAAAAAUUUAUUUCUUUUGCUCGGACUGCGACUUCUUGGUCUACGUGUAGUUCACGAGAUAUUUUUUCAUUCAUUCAAUGUGGUUCUAAUAUAAGUUCUAGGAUGUUUGUUCAAUUCUUCAAUAUUCUGUUGUGUGUAUUUUGUAUACAUGUAUAUUGAUGUGCCGUUUUUGUGAAUCGCGCUGUGAUACUAGCGGUGUUUGCCAUGUGUGUAAGAGAUCACAUCUGUGUAUUUUUGUUUUCUAAAAUCUUAAUUAUAGAUUUCGGCACCAUGCGCACCAUAGCAUUACUGGGCAAAAUUGUGUAAUGUACCAUCAUCAAUAGACUAUCAAACAGAUUUUUUCCACCGUUUAAUAUCGGGAACAUUGGACCGAAAAAUGGGUGAGCCUAAUUAACUGAAUGACUGAAUGGACGAGUACAACUACUGUUGUGCCGAAAAGAAUAUAAUAUCUGAAAAUAAAAAAAUGAUAUAUUAAUACUAUAAAUGUCCAACUUUGUAACAACGAGUUGCAAAUUAUUAAUAAUAAUAAUUCUAUUCAAUAUGCAGAAUAUAGUCUAUACGAUUUAGUGAAUAAUUUACACAGUAACAAUGUGAUUAAUGGAGAUAUUGGAAUUUUGGUUGAACAUAAUUUCAGCGGUAUUAUUCUGAGGUUUGUUUUAUGUUACUGGUUACAAUUUGAUUAUGAAGUACUUUUACAACUAUUCAAUUGCCAUAUGAAUUCAAAUAAGUAAAUUGACUCCCUCACCUCAACAAUGACAAACAAGACUUAUAAAAGAGCCUGCUAUCAUUUGAAGAUAUGUUAAAGAAAUAUGAAUCAGUGAUGUAACAAAAUGCAUGUAAACAUUAUGUACAAACCUCAAUCAGUGUUACUUUGUUGUAAUGAAUCAUUAGCGUGCACACCAUGAAGAUUAAGGAUAGAGAGCUUGCACUAGCUGAUAAAACUAGACAGAUUUUUACUGAUUUUAGUACAAAUCUUAAGCAUCAAGAAGUAAACAGCUCUAAUAAUCUAUCAAAUUGGCCAAUAAUAACUCCUUAUUUCGAACAGCUAAAAUCAAGAGAUUUAAAUUUAAACAAAAAUAAUUUGAUCUUUAAAUUAAUUUUGUGUGGUCCAAAAGAAGAAGGAAUUUUUACUUCUAUAUCAUCCAAUUCAAAUCUUAGAACACAUAUCAAAAUUAAGCAUCCUAAUGAUUUGACAGAAUUUAACAAUUGUGUGAAAAAGAAACCAACAGAUUCUACAUCAAUAUCUCAUUAACAACUGAAAUUAAGUGAUGUUGGUAAAGUUCGACCAACGAAAAAGUUAGAUCAAGCUGAGUUUGAUAAGGCUAAUUUAAAACUGAUUAUUGAUGCUGUGUCGCCUUUUACAUUCAUUAAACAUCCAGCAUUUGUAAAAUACUGCAAAGUUACAUCAAAUAAAGUGCCUGCAUCUCGGAGAAAUUUAAUGCGCAAUGUUGAAUAUUUAUACAAUAAAAUGAUAAAUGAAAUGGUCAGUGAAUUAGAUACAAUUAAAUUUGUACGUAUUACAACAGACUAUUGGAGCAUAUUGCACAAAUCAUACAUAGGAUUUACUAUCCAUUGGAUUAAUCUUUAAACAUUGGAAAGAUGUUCGAAAGGACUUACAUGUAGACGAAUGAUAGGGAUAAGACACACAUAAGACAAUAUUGCUGAAUCAAUAGACAAAGUACUCAACAAAUUUAAAAUUCAAAAUAAAACAAUAUUAAUAGUCAUUGACAAUGCAGCUAAUUUUGUCAAAAGUUUAGAUUCAUGAGUUAUAUGGAGUCAAAGAUGUGUCAAGUGGCUGCUUGUAUGGUUCCAAAAUUCAAACUUAAUUGAACAGUAGAAGAUAAUCGGAACGAAAUCAAACCUACACUUAUGGUAACCAUAAUUGAUAACUCAUCAAUAACAACAAAUUCCCAAGAAAAUCUUCAGUCUACUUCCAACACAACAUCUACAGAAUGUCGUAAUAGUGACUUUGAAGAUAAAAUUUUUAGUUUUAAAGAAAAUAAUGUUUUGGAUUCAAAUAAUGAUUAUAAACUUCUUACACGUCUAACACAAAUAUUAAAUCUCCUUCAGAAUUACCAAAUACAAUUAAAGAAAUAUAUAUUAAGUAUAAUACUGCCGUCCCUUCAUCUGCACAUGUUAAGCGGCUUUUUAAUGCUGGAGGACAGUUACUAAACAAGA